UUGGAGAAUGGGGAGGCGACUAGGGUUGAAGUGGCGUCCAUAUUUAAGAGCCCUCCACUAUUUCAAACAGAUUUUAGCGCCACACAUCUGUGUCUGUUUUGAGGCAGAAUGAAAUUCGCGGUGAAGGCGUGGAACAACUGCAAGGCGCGCACCGGAUGUCUACAGCUCGGAAACUGCCCUACCGCCAUUGAUACUCCUGCUUUACUUCUCUCUACUUGUAAAGGACUGCCUAAUUUCAUCUCUCCUGAUCUUCUUCCGUCUCUCCCUUCCCCUGAUUCUCACCUCCUCCAGUUCAGUCCUCUUCACUUCUUGGAAGGUCCUUCAUUGAAAACGAUAUCAAGUAUUGGAGGGCUGCAGCAUUUACUUGGGUUACAUGAAUCUGUAUUUGCAGCAGUAGCAAGGGAUUCUGUUCAGUGCCUUCCAGAAUGUAAUGCUUCCAAUAAAUUUGGAGCAUCUUUUGAGACUACUUGUGGUCGUCGUUUGAUAAGACCUGUUGAGUAUGUUGAAUUGAUUUCGUCCAUGAGACCAAACAUUUGGGCCUCCUUGGCUGAUGAAGUGCCAUCGUGGGUUUCAGAUAAAAGGAAUAAAACAUCAGUGGAUCGAACUGUGAGAUGGCUCGAUGAAUGCAUCAAUUUGAACUCAACAGGUGGGGCUAUUUUUGGAGCUAUUGUUGGAGGCAAUGAUAUGGAAGAACGCCAAAGAUGUGCUUUAGAGGUGGUUAAGCGUAAUGUAUCAGGUUAUUGGAUUGGAGGUUUUGGGCUUGGAGAGAGCAUAGAUGAGCGUCCUGCCCUACUUGAUGCUGUUACGGAUGUCUUACCAGAGGAAUUGCCACGCAUGAUAUGUGGACUCGGACUUCCAGAGGAGAUCUUGCAGGGUAUCGCUGCUGGAGUCGAUCUCUUUGACUCUGCGUACAUAUAUCACUUGACCCUUGGAGGCUUUGCUCUCACCUUCCCACUGAAUGGAAUUGCGGAGAAACGGCCUGACACGCACCUGAACGACGAUGUAAGUGAUCGGACAAAAAUCAACUUAAGAGCAACACUUUAUCGGAAAGAUACAUCACCAAUUCUCGAGGGGUGUAACUGCUACGCUUGCCUGAAUCAUACCAAGGCUUAUAUAAAUCAUUUGCUAAAUGUCCACGAAAUGCUGGCUCAAAUACUGCUGGAGAUACAUAAUACUCAUCAUUAUUUAGGAUUCUUUCGAUCAAUCAGAGAAGCAAUCAAGGCAGGCAAAUUUCAGCAAUAUCAUCAGAAAUUCGUUGAGGGUAGGCGCAAUCAUCUAGCCCUGCCAGCCGCAGCAAUCACUCAUGACGAGCUCAUCAAAUAAGUAAUUUGAAUAUUGCCAACAAUGUUUUGUUUUACCGAACAAUUUUAUCAACUGAUCAUACUAUAUAUUAGGGGCAGGUACAUCUGGUCACUCUAAAUUUUCAUCCUCACAAUUCCGUCGUUUGUAGGAUCUAAUUGAAGAUAUGGUCUAUCUAGCAUUCAAGUUCUUUUGUUGAUCCUGUAAAUCUAAUAUUACAUUCAACAUACUCAUCAAUAGGGAUUUAGGACAUAAUAUUUAAGAAUGCAAUCAAUACCCUUGCUUUCUUCUUGUA